AUUGAACGCUGGCGGCAGGCCUAACACAUGCAAGUCGAGCGAGCGGCGGACGGGUGAGUAAUGCCUGGGCAUUGCCACGUCGAGGGGGAUAACAGUUGGAAACGACUGCUAAUACCGCAUACGACUGGCUUGCUCAGGUGGGAUUAGCUAGUUGGUGAGGUAAUGGCUCACCAAGGCGACGAUCCCUAGCUGGCCUGAGAGGAUGAUCAGCCACACUGGAACUGAGACACGGCCCAGACUCCUACGGGAGGCAGCAGUGGGGAAUAUUGCACAAUGGGGGAAAGCCUGAUGCAGCCAUGCCGCGUGUGUGAAGAAGGCCUUCGGGUUGUAAAGCACUGUCAGCGAGGAGGCGUUACUCGCAGAGGAAGCAACGGCUAACUCCGUGCCAGCAGCCGCGGUAAUUC
rnacentral:rRNA from 1 species